rnacentral:rRNA from 1 species
AUACGGAGGACGCGAGCGUUAUCCGGAUUCAUUGGGUUUAAAGGGAGCGCAGGCGGAGAUGCAAGCGUGACGUCAAAUUUCGGGGCUCAACCCCGUCUCGCGUCGCGAACUGCGUCCCUUGGUUGCGGGAAGGGGAGGCGGAACUCGUGGGGUAGCGGUGACAUGCAUAGAUAUCACGAAGAACUCCGCUCGCGAAGGCAGCCUUCCGGCCCGUCAACGACGCUCAUGCUCGAAGGUGCGGGUAUCAAACAGGAUUAGAUACCCUGGUAGUCCGCACAGUAAACGAUGGACACCCGCGGUUUGGCCUAUAUGGCUGAGCCGCCAAGCGAAAGCGUUAAGUGUCCCACCUGGGGAGUACGCCGGCAACGGUGAAACUCAAAGGAAUUGACGGGG